UACGUAGGGGGCUAGCGUUGUCCGGAAUCAUUGGGCGUAAAGCGCGUGUAGGCGGUUCGGUAAGUCCGCUGUGAAAGUCGGGGGCUCAACCCUCGGAAGCCGGUGGAUACUGUCGGGCUUGAGUACGGAAGAGGCGAGUGGAAUUCCUGGUGUAGCGGUGAAAUGCGCAGAUAUCAGGAAGAACACCGACGGCGAAGGCAGCUCGCUGGGACGGUACUGACGCUGAGGCGCGAAAGCGUGGGGAGCGAACAGG
rnacentral:rRNA from 1 species